CGGACGGGUGAGUAACGCGUGGAUAACCUGCCGUAUGCAGGGGGAUACCAACUGGAAACAGUUGCUAAUACCGCAUAAGCGCACAGUACCGCAUGGUAUAGUGUGAAAAGAUUUAUCGGCAUACGAUGGAUCCGCGUCCGAUUAGCCAGUUGGCGGGGUAGAAGCCCACCAAAGCGACGAUCGGUAGCCGGCCUGAGAGGGCGGACGGCCACAUUGGGACUGAGACACGGCCCAAACUCCUACGGGAGGCAGCAG
rnacentral:rRNA from 1 species